rnacentral:rRNA from 1 species
CACUCCUGCGGGAGGCAGCAGUGGGGAAUUUUGGACAAUGGGCGAAAGCCUGAUCCAGCAAUGCCGCGUGAGUGAAGAAGGCCUUCGGGUUGUAAAGCUCUUUUGUCAGGGAAGAAACGGUGAAAGCUAAUAUCUUUUGCUAAUGACGGUACCUGAAGAAUAAGCACCGGCUAACUACGUGCCAGCAGCCGCGGUAAUACGUAGGGUGCAAGCGUUAAUCGGAAUUACUGGGCGUAAAGCGUGCGCAGGCGGUUUUGUAAGUCUGAUGUGAAAUCCCCGGGCACAACCUGGGAAUUGCAUUGGAGACUGCAAGGCUAGAAUCUGGCAGAGGGGGGUAAAAUUCCACGUGUAGCAGUGAAAUGCGUAGAUAUGUGGGGGAACACCGAUGGCGAAGGCAGCCCCCUGGGUCAAGAUUGACGCUCAUGCACGAAAGCGUGGGGAGCAAACAGGAAUAGAUACCCCUAUAGUCCCA